ensembl:lncRNA
AUGUGUUUUGAUUUUAGGCCACAGAACUUUGAAUUGCAUUCAUUGGAUAGGAAAAAAGUUGUCAAGUCAGUGGCCAGGCUAUUCACAGUGUUGGCAGUGGCCAGCUCUGAGGCCUUGGAGGAAGCAGCCGGGCAUUGGAGAACGGACAGUGUCCUUGGCCCUGGAGGAGGAGACAGCAGGAUCCGGUGUGCUGUGGUGUGGACAGACUCUAGACAUCUUCCUCAGUGGGGUCACUGAAAAGGACAUCAAGAUGUCAGUCAUUUAUUUCACUUCCCGGGCAUUAGGUGGGUAGACAAGGCAUUCGUGAGUGGGAUGGUGGUUCUUUCUGUCAACAAGUCAGAGGUUGGAUUAUGAAAAUUAACUUUGAGCAAGUGACUCUGUGUUUCUAUCAAGAAUAUGCAUAUUGGGACUUCCCUGGUGGCACAGUGGUUAAGAAUCUGCCUGCCAAUGCAGGGGACAUGGGUUUGAGCCCUGGUCCAGGAAGAUCCCACAUGCUGAGGAGCAACUAAGCCUGUGUGCCACAACUACUGAGCCCGCGAGCCACACCUACUGAGCCCGCGUGCCACAGCUACUGAAGCCUGCGCUCCUAGAGCCUAUGCUCUGCAACAAGAGAAGCCACAGCAAUGAGAAGCCCGUGCACCACAACGAAGAGUAGCCCCUACUUGCCGCAACUAGAGAAAGCCCGCGCACAACAAUGGAGACCCAACACAGCCAAAACUAAAUUUAAAACAAAACAAAACAAACAAAAAAAGAAUAUGUAUAUUAAUGUCAUUUAGACUCUUUUGGGGGAAAUAUUAAAUAUCUCUAUUAAUUUUAGCAUUUGUACAUCUGUGAUUUCUUGAACAGUAAUGGUAAUAAAGAGAAAAGGGUUCCUCCCCUGCCUUCUUACAAUCUAUUUAGUGAAACCUGAUGGAUCAUGUGAAAGCUCUUAAUUCUUCAAGCCAUUGGUAUCUGAAUUAGGAGUUUAUUUUAUUUUAUUUUUUUACAAGAGUCCUUGUAUGUUAUUUAUUCUUUUCUUUUUUGCUUUAUUGAAGGAUAGUUGACUUAUAUUAGUUUCAGGUGUACAACAUACUGAUUCAGCAUUUUUAUAAAUUACACACCAUACAAAAAGGCUUAAUUUCUAACCCAAAUAAGAAAAAAUGCACUCCUAAUUUAUCCCUCACCCGUCUUUCCCCUUUGGUAACCAUAAGUUUGUUUUCUGUGUCUGUGAGUCUAUUUCUAUUUUGUAAAUAAGUUCAUUCAUAUCAUUUUUUAGAUUCCACAUAAAAGUGAUAUCAUAUGAUAUUUGUCUUUCUCUGUCUGACUUACUGCACUUAGUAUGAUAGUCUCUAGGUACAUCCAUGUUGCUGCAAAUGGCAUUAUUUCAUUCUUUUUUAUGGCUAAUAUUCCAUUGUAUAUGUAUACUACAUCUUCUUUAUCCAUUUAUCUGUCCAUGGACAUUUAGGUUGUUUCCAUGUCUUGGCUAUUGUAAAUUGCUGCUAUGAACAUUGGGGUGCAUGUAUCUUUUUGAAUUAGAGUUUUCUCCUGAUAUAUGCCCAGGAAUGGUAUUGCUGGUUCACAUGGUAGCUCUGUUUUUGUUUUUUAAAGAACCUCCAUACUGUUCUCCAUAGUGGCUGCACCAAUUUACAUUCCUACCAACAGUGUAGGAGGGUUCCCUUUUCUC